AUGGAUGAUGAAAAAUUUGAUUUUUGGACCCAUUUUGGGUAUACCAUCGACGAACCUGCAUGCCAUUGGCUUUUAGCUCAACAGGUUGUCAUAACAAAAGUGCAAGUACUCCCACUCAAAAUCUUUCAAUGUGUAGAUUUGCUUUACCAUCAAAGAGAACUAAUUCUACUUGUUCAAUUUUCUUGGGAUAAGUUUGAAUAUGGUUGUCACGUCAUAAUUGGCUAUUCACCUAUUUCCACUAGUAAAGGAGCUAUUCAAUUACUGUUCCGAACCAAUGUGUAA